rnacentral:misc_RNA from 1 species
UCGACAAGCCCUAAGCGCUCCAACUUUGCGAGGUGGUACUGAACCGCCCGGGUCGGCAGAUCCAGCUCGUUCUUGAUGUCGUCCAUGUCAACGCAGUCCCGAUCAUCCCGUUCCGGCAUCUCGCCGAGGAUCCGAAGGAUGUCGUCGUCGAUGUCAUCCAACAGGUCCUCUUCCUCUUCCUCCUCGUCCCCAUCGGUUGGCUCCUCCUC